rnacentral:rRNA from 1 species
CCUANGGGUGGCAGCAGUGGGGAAUAUUGGACAAUGGGCGCAAGCCUGAUCCAGCAAUGCCGCGUGUGUGAAGAAGGCCUUAGGGUUGUAAAGCACUUUCAGGGGGGAGGAACGGCCCGCAAGGGUUUUGACGUUACCCCCAGAAGAAGCACCGGCUAACUCUGUGCCAGCAGCCGCGGUAAUACAGAGGGUGCGAGCGUUAAUCGGAAUGACUGGGCGUAAAGCGCGCGUAGGCGGUUAUAUAAGUUGGGUGUGAAAUCCCUGGGCUCAACCUAGGAAUUGCAUUCAAAACUGUAUGACUUGAGUGAAGUAGAGGUGAGUGGAAUUUCCGGAGUAGCGGUGAAAUGCGUAGAUACCGGAAGGAACACCAGUGGCGAAGGCGACUCACUGGGCUUUAACUGACGCUGAGGUGCGAAAGCGUGGGGAGCAAACAGGAUUAGAUACCCCUNUANUC